AACGAACGCUGGCGGCAUGCCUAAUACAUGCAAGUCGAACGAGACCUUCGGGUCUAGUGGCGCAUGGGUGCGUAACGCGAGGGAACAUGCCCUUAGGGGUGGAAUAACUCCCCGAAAGGGGUGCCAACGCGGAACAUUGUCUACGACCGAAAGAUGUAUCGCCUUUGGAUGGGCCCGCGUUGGAUUAGCUUUUUCUAAGGGUAAAAGCCUACCAAGCGGACGAUCAAUAGCUGGUCUAGGAGGAGGAUCAGCCACACUGGGACUGAGACCCGGCCCAGACUCCUACGGGAGGCAGCAGUGGGGAAUGUUGGACAAUGGGCGGAAGCAUGAUCCAGCAAUGCCGCGUGAAUGAUGAAGGCCUUAGGGUUGUAAAGCUCUUUUACCCGGGAUGAUAAUGACAGUACCGGAAGAAUAAGCUCCGGCUAACUCCGUG
rnacentral:rRNA from 1 species